GAUGAACGCUAGCGGGAGGCUUAACACAUGCAAGUCGAGCGGUAGGGCAGCAAUGCCUGAGAGCGGCGCACGGGUGCGUAACGCGUAUGCAACCUGCCUUAUACAGGGGAAUAGCCCAUGGAAACGUGGAUUAAUGUCCCAUAGGAUUACGGAUUCGCAUGGAUUUGUGAUUAAAACUGAGGUGGUAUAAGAUGGGCAUGCGUCUGAUUAGGUAGUUGGUAGGGUAAUGGCCUACCAAGCCGACGAUCAGUAGGGGUUCUGAGAGGAUUACCCCCCACACUGGUACUGUGACACGGACCAGACUCGUACGGGAGGCAGCAGUGAGGAAUAUUGGUCAAUGGCCGGAAGGCUGAACCAGCCAUCCCGCGUGCAGGAGGACGGCCCUAUGGGUUGUAAACUGCUUUUGUACCUGAAGAAACCUGUUUACGAGUAGACAGUUGCCGGUAAGGUAUGAAUAAGCAUCGGCUAACUCCGUGCCAGCCGCCGCCGUAACAC
rnacentral:rRNA from 1 species